rnacentral:rRNA from 1 species
AGUGAACGCUGGCGGUAUGCCUAACACAUGCAAGUCGAACGGCAGCACACUAAGAGCUUGGUCUUACGGGGUGGGAGUGGCGUGCGUGUGAGGAAUAUAUCGUGAUCUACUUUUUCGUGGGGGUUAACGUAGGGAAACUUACUCUAAUACCGCAUACGCCCUACGGUUGAAAGCAGUGGAUCUUCGGACCUUUCGCGAAUGAAUUCGCCGAUGUCGGAUUGGCUAGUUGGCGGGGUAAAUGCCCACGCAUGCGACGAUCCGUAGCUGGUCUGAGUGGAUGAUCGGCCACACUGGAACUGAGACAGGGUCAAGAGUCCUGAGGGAGGGAGCAGAGGGGAAUAUUGGACAGUGGGCGCGAGUAUGAUACAGUCAUACCGCGUGUGUGAAGGAGGCGUUCGGGUUGUGAAGCCGUUUUGUUGGGAAAGAAAAGCAGUAGGUUAAUACCACGCUGGUCUGACGGUACCCAAAGAAUAAGCACCGGCUAACUACGUG